rnacentral:misc_RNA from 1 species
AAUUCUCAACCCCCCUAUUUUGUAAUGAGAUGGGCGUGGGCUUGGAUGUGGUUGUUGCAGGCUCUUUAAGUAGAACCGGCUCGACUGAAAUACAUGAGCAACCCAGUUUGAAAACAAGGCGGCUUGACUCGACGUAAUAAUUAUUCGUUGAGGACGUCUAUAUUUCAAGAUAGCGGUGCUUCUAAUGCGUACUUUGGUACAUCUUAAGCUU